UUUUCGGAAUUAGAGACCGGCGCACGGGUGCGUAACGCGUAUGCAAUCUACCUUUCACAGAGGGAUAGCCCAGAGAAAUUUGGAUUAAUACCUCAUAGUAUUAUAGAGUGGCAUCACUUUAUAAUUAAAGUCACAACGGUGAAAGAUGAGCAUGCGUCCCAUUAGCUAGUUGGUAAGGUAACGGCUUACCAAGGCAACGAUGGGUAGGGGUCCUGAGAGGGAGAUCCCCCACACUGGUACUGAGACACGGACCAGACUCCUACGGGAGGCAGCAGUGAGGAAUAUUGGACAAUGGGCGCAAGCCUGAUCCAGCCAUGCCGCGUGCAGGAUGACGGUCCUAUGGAUUGUAAACUGCUUUUGCACAGGAAGAAACAACAUUACGUGUAAUGUCUUGACGGUACUGUGAGAAUAAGGAUCGGCUAACUCCGUGCCAGCAGCCGCGGUAAUACGGAGGAUCCAAGCGUUAUCCGGAAUCAUUGGGUUUAAAGGGUCCGUAGGCGGUUUAGUAAGUCAGUGGUGAAAGCCCAUCGCUCAACGGUGGAACGGCCAUUGAUACUGCUAAACUUGAAUUAUUAGGAAGUAACUAGAAUAUGUAGUGUAGCGGUGAAAUGCUUAGAGAUUACAUGGAAUACCAAUUGCGAAGGCAGGUUACUACUAAUGGAUUGACGCUGAUGGACGAAAGCGUGGGUAGCGAACAGGAUUAGAUACCCUGGUAGUCCACGCCGUAAACGAUGGAUACUAGCUGUUGGAAGCAAUUUCAGUGGCUAAGCGAAAGUGAUAAGUAUCCCACCUGGGGGAGUACGUUCGCAAGAAUGAAACUCAAAGGAAUUGACGGGGGCCCGCACAAGCGGUGGAGCAUGUGGUUUAAUUCGAUGAUACGCGAGGAACCUUACCAAGGCUUAAAUGUAGAUUGACCGGUUUGGAAACAGACUUUUCGCAAGACAAUUUACAAGGUGCUGCAUGGUUGUCGUCAGCUCGUGCCGUGAGGUGUCAGGUUAAGUCCUAUAACGAGCGCAACCCCUGUUGUUAGUUGCCACCGAGUCAUGUCGGGAACUCUAACGAGACUGCCAGUGCAAACUGAAAAGGAAGGUGGGGG
rnacentral:rRNA from 1 species